GGUGACUUGGCCGAGCGGUUAUGGCGCCAGUUUCAGGUUCACUUGAAGCAAAACUUUCUGUUUCAACAGAAAGGAUUAUCAUACUGGUUCGAAAGAGCGUGGGUUCGAAUCCCACAGUCAUCA
rnacentral:tRNA from 1 species